rnacentral:rRNA from 1 species
UACGUAGGGUGCGAGCGUUGUCCGGAAUUACUGGGCGUAAAGAGCUCGUAGGUGGUUUGUCGCGUUGUUCGUGAAAACUCACAGCUCAACUGUGGGCGUGCGGGCGAUACGGGCAGACUGGAGUACUGCAGGGGAGACUGGAAUUCCUGGUGUAGCGGUGGAAUGCGCAGAUAUCAGGAGGAACACCAGCGGCGAAGGCGGCGCUCUGGGCCGGUACUGACACUGAGGAGCGAAAGCGUGGGUAGCAAACAGG